UUUCUUGAACAACAAUCAGUUUGAUAAAGAACAUAAAAAUUAGACUGAGUUUAAUGGAAAAAGGUCAUGUGGUCUGAUGAGUCCAGACUGACCCUGUUCUGGAGAGAUGGAAAUAUCAGGGGCAGAAGA